CAUUGGCCAUAACAAGGCAACAGGCACUUGCCCCAGAAAGGGAUAUGUACUGGCCAGACUGGAUGUGGAUAGAUGGAAGAAGUUACAAUCAAUCCAGAAUGAUUGAACAAUUCACAGAGCAGCUUGCAUUCUAAAAUGGAGAGACUAUGCAUAGAGGAGUGGACAGCCAUGGAAGAGUUUUGGUUUCCAGAGUCACAGGGAUGGUGAAUUGGAUUUCAGUGAGGCAGCAUCACACAAAGUCCUCAGCCUCACUUUCUCUCCCAGUUUUUUUUUUUUAAACCCUUACCUUCCAUCUUGGAGUCAAUACCGUGGAUUGGCCACUGAACCACCCAGCUGUCCCCUCUCUUCCAGUUUUUGAAGUCCAGUGGCAAGACAAAAGUCAGGAUGACAGGUGAUGGCCCUGGAUGCAGUAGCUGACCUGAUCUUUGAUGUCUGAUCAAGCUCCAAGAACCCCUGACCAACCCCGUCAGGAAGAAUUUUUGAAUGGCCCAGAAGGAGUCAAAGGGAUUCUGUCAAAUGUAAGUGAAAAGCUGUGAGCCUUGCUGAAAGACCACAUUAGUACUCUAGAUGAACAGAUCAGGUAAUGUUGCUAUUGAAGAGGGAGCCAUAAUAUUCAGCUCAGCUAGAAACUGAAGGGGUUAGUCAGUCAAUAAAUGUGAAUUAAGCACCCA
rnacentral:lncRNA from 1 species